rnacentral:lncRNA from 1 species
AUUUGUACAAAGUUUGCAAGACAAAUGGAAGUCAACUUCUGCAAGUUUAUGUUUGAAAGCAGGUGUCAUGCAUAUUUACGUUUUUAUUAAGCAGUUCUAUUAGGAAUGUUUUAAUAUAGGUUGUUAAUUUAUAUGGAGGAAGCCUGAUACUGUAGAAGAUGGAAGUUUUGUGCCUGAGAUACCAGUCUUUAACUGUGGAGAUAUUGAAGUGCCCAAGAUAGGACAAACCAGUGAUGACUUUCAAGACAUUUCGUCAGAACAGACUGUUCCUGCGUAUACCAGGCACUAAGGGUUGCUGAGCAAAGCUGUUGCAGAGGCUUCCUUGUGUGGCCCUGAGGGAAACAUGAUCUUCGCCCAUGAUGGUGAAAAGAUGGAGCGCUUGACAUUUGAAAUGACAGCAUACAAUGUCCUUAAUGGUGGACCAGGCCUACCGAUGAUCAACACCAUGCUGUACUCCUUCAUGACUGACUAGGGCAUAAAACUCCAUGUAGACAUUCUUAGAUUUUCCCAGACCGAGGAAAUUUUUCGCAUUAAGGAGAUCCUGGACAGCCCAGACGAUGAGGGAUUUAAGUCGGUUAUCGACAAACAUGCUGACUGGAUUAUUGAUCAAGGCUUACUUCCUACAAAAACAAAAUUGGAGAAGAAAGAUAAAGUAGCUACAUACCUGCUGAAAAACAUACUUUACUACAGAUUCCACGCUGAAAUUACCCAAUUUGUUAAUGGACUGGAUAAAGUGGGUUCAUUGCACAAAGAGAUACUCCAUGCACCUGAAGCAUUUUCUAGUCUGUUUGUUCAUCAAGCUGUUCAUCUAAAGUUUGACACAUUCAGAUUAUUGUAUGAAGUGAACUUCAGUCCAGAGGGUUCCAAUAACCGAAGGUUGGAGAAGGAUACAGUAUACUGCUUGGAGGCAUUCUUGAUUGAAUGUGAUGGCAAAGAAAGUGACAUAGCCUUGGCAGAUGUACUGAUGUUUUGGACAGGAGCAAGUUCUGUGCCUCUCAUGGGGUUUGGCAAAAAACUUGAGUGGACUUUGUUACAGCUGAUAGAAAACUGCCUGUAGCCCAUACCUGUGGCAUGCUUUUGUGCCUGGGUUAGCUGAUCCUGAUUUAUUCAAGGAGGAUAUGGCGAAAGCUAUUUUGGAGGAUUCCACUUCCGUUAAAUGCAUCGAAGUACAAUCAGUUCUGAAGCCAUCUAUUAGUUUACAAUCAAACGGUUGCAAUACUUGAACUCAAGAUUCUACCAACUGCUCUUGUUUCAGGCCAGUAUGCAACAUGUAAAUGUUAAGGUCAUCGGAUCACCACAAUACUUAAGUAAAGGAAUGGCACAUAGCACGUCAUAAAGCAUGUUAUAAUCCUCAUUAUAGUUAUGAAUGAACAUUCUUCUGUCUUUGUUUGCUGUCUCCCAACUCUACUUUUUUAAAGUUGGGUAGGUAGGUAGGCAAUUCUCUUUUUUUUUUCGUCUUUUUUGGUGGAGGGAUUUUACUUUUACCAGUAGAUGUAUGAUCAUUUCUUACAGAAUAUUUCUUCUGUAAAAAUAAGGCAAAUCUGUAUAUGAUCAGCAUUGUCCAAUAAAAACUUUUGGGGCGCAACAUUUUAAGUGGGUAGGUAGGGAGACAGCAAACAAACAUGUUUUUAAUUUUGGCCUUGCUUUUGUUAUAGAUAGGCUCACACACACACUAAAUUAAUUACCUUUAUGUUCUGUAGUGCAUGCAAUGAGGAACAUUGGCUUGUUACUUCCCUUGAAUUGUUGUAUGAUAAAGCGCAAGGAUAACCAAAUAUUACAUUGGUCCCUUUCAGUUGGAUUCCUCUAACUUUUUCGUUAUAACCUUUAUCCAAGAUGCUGUUGUUGGUCAAAAUAAAUAUGCUUUUUAUGAGUAAGUUUCUAAAUAAAAUGAUUAAUCCAACCUAAAUUUAACAGAGGGCCACUAAAAGAAAACCUGUCCUUAAUCAUUUUCCAAUCCAAAUCAAAUUUAGUACAGAUAUUGCUUUUGAAAAUUACAAGGAAGUCAACAAUAAAAACCGAGGAAGGACCAAUCUACAUCCUGGACAUAAUCAGGGGAAGUAACUGACUAAUG